rfam:Oryza barthii chromosome 2, whole genome shotgun sequence.
AAUAAGUGCAGUCAUGAGUUUCCGCUCUCAACUUUAAUCAUCCGUCUUAUUUGAAAUUUUUUUAUAAUUAGCAUUUUUGUUGCUAUAAGAUGAUAAAACAUGAAUAGUACUUUGCUCGUGAUUUAUGUUUUUAAUUUUUUUUUUCAAAAUUUUUUCAAAUAAGACGAACGAUCAAAAUUGGACGCGGAAAACCAUGGCUGCACUUAUU